rnacentral:rRNA from 1 species
UACGGGGGGGGCAAGCGUUGUUCGGAAUUACUGGGCGUAAAGGGUGCGUAGGCGGUUCGCUAAGUUGGAUGUGAAAACUCUGGGCUUAACCCAGAGCCUGCAUCCAAUACUGACGAGCUAGAGUUCUGGAGGGGGUAGCGGAAUUCCUGGUGUAGCGGUGAAAUGCGUAGAUAUCAGGAGGAACACCGGUGGCGAAGGCGGCUACCUGGACAGAGUCUGACGCUGAGGCGCGAAAGCUAGGGGAGCAAACAGG